CCUCAUGAUCUGCCUGCCUCGGCCUCCCAAAGUGCUGGGAUUGCAAGCGUGAGCCACUGCGCCCGGCCGACUCACUCCUGUUAUGAGGGCCUAGUCUAGCACCCACUCUAGAAUUUUGAAACCUCAUUGAUAGCUUUUCCUUGCCCCAAAGCACACAUCCAGGACUGCCAAACAGGGCAACCCAAAACUUCUCUCAGAGCUUCCUCCAGCCCAGGGGCAGCUGUCCCCAGCUGGGCGGACCCAAAGAUGGACAACAGAGGAGACUGGGAACAAAGAGGUCUAGUCCAGGUCACUCUGCAGGGCCACAGUGGGUGGCCCUUAGGAUGUAGUGAGAGUACAGAAUUGGGAGCCCUAGAGUGCUGUAAGCAAAAGGGAGAGCAAUGUACAAAGUUUCAAAAGUUUCAAACCUUCCAAGUGCAAAGAGAUGAGGUGGAGAAUGUCAUUCCCCAAGGAAAGUAAUCGAGUAUAAAUAUUUACCGGGUGCCUAUUUUUUUUUUAACCGAAGUGAGAGCAAGACCUUAAGAGUAAGGAUAUGUGUAGGUGAGUGGGGGCAGUGUUCUAACCCAUCCACUAGCUUUAGAACUUGGAGCAGGGGCAGAGGAAGAAAACUCCAAAAGGUGACAAGUUUUGAAAUUUGUGCAGGGGUGACGGUUUUUGGUAAGGCGAGCGAGGCUGGGCGCAGAGCAAAUUCUGUCUACUUCUACCUCCUCCGCGGUGGGGUUGCUGAAGUGGGAAUUCAAACUCAGCUUCCCAAUCUUAAAUGCAAGGUUUUUGUUUGGUUGGUUGUUUGGUUUUGUUUUUCCUUUUCACGGACUGUUCAUUCCGAACACCCCUGGCCUGGGACCUGGAGCCUCAUCCCUGAUUCGCUUCCCUCGAAUUCCUUAAUGUCCACUUCUGGCUCUCCCAGUCCCUGUGCAAGUCUCCCGGUUCUGGCUGCAACUUCGCACUCCGCGCCUCUGGCAACCAGAAGAGACCCUGGCAUCUCCAAAGCGCUUUAUCUCAGUCCAUUGGAACCAGUCGUGCUGACCGAUUCACACCUCGGCUAACGCACACUCGCGGGGGUGAUGGCCUUCCCUUCCCCUCCCACCCCCGUCAGCUCCCAGUUUGGCAGGGAUCCUUAGCGGUAGAAGUGUUCAGAUGCUGGACUGAUGCAGUGACAACCUGCAAGUCCCUUUUUUCCUCUUUCCACCUUCUAGUCUCCCUCCAGUGCCUCCUCUUGGCAGAACCUAACAAGAAAUCAGCUGACAAGGGAGUCUGGGAACCAGUGUCCUGUGGUAAGUCACCAUGAUGCAAUGUUUGCCUCCAUGAUAGGCAGGCUAUUCCAGAGGCCACAGAUCAGGAAGACUCAGACCAAAUUAUGAUGAUCAAAUCACAAGGGUUAUGGAAUCUAUUUAAAGCAUAGAGCCAGAACCAAGGGGACAGAUUUACACAAGGUUGAUACACUUGGGAAUGCAAGCAGGGCAAAAGUCCUGCACAGUCUCACAGCCUCAGUCAUGUGUUUCGCUCUGCAGUGGUAUAGUUAUGAGGACCAGAACUGAGAUUGAGUAAGGGGAUCAAUAUGAGGAAGAUGCUUAGAACCAAGGUAUACUCAUUCUAUUGAGAGAUGUUUAAGGGUAGGUAGGCUUGGCCACAGGUCUUUGUCAGUGUUCUGGGAAGCCAUACUUUUUGCCAGUAUUUCUUGGGUAGAGCUUAUGGGGGGCCAGAAGGUGCCACCAGUAGGUAGUCAAUUUAGGGAUGACAUGGACACCAGCCAGAAGGUGGCAUAAUCUAUACCUCAUGGCUUAUGAUUUGUUUUUUCCUAUCCUUUUCUGCCUGUAAGUAGCACUCUUGUUUGUUCCAUCCUUUUGUAGUCUAUUCCAUUUAUUCUGUUUUACAUGUCUUGCAGGUUACUAACUUACUAUAGAUUGAGAAUCCCAAGUCUGAAAUUUGAAAUGCUCCAAAUUCUGAAACUUUUCGAGUACUGACAUGGCACUCAAAGGAAAUGCUCAUUGAGGCAUUUUGGAUUUCAGAUUUCUGGAAUGGGGUGCUCAACAUAUAAGUGUAAUGCAAGUAUUCCAAAAUCCAAAAAGUAUCCCGGAUAAGGGAUACUCCAUCCUGCAUUUUUAGCACAUCUUCUGAAUUCUGCCUAUGUCUCACAAAUGACUUGCUUACUUUGUAUCUAUAGUUAAUACAUCUGAUGAGUUUCACCCACCUGCUUUUCUUGUCCUCUGUAUGAAACUGAAUAUUCUCAUGUAACAGAGCAAACACACAUUGUAGCCAGUAUUAUAGAGAAAAGUACAGAGGAGUAGGUUGGGGCUGAGGGAGACAAAAUAAAUAACUAGCAGAAAACCAGUUUUAUGUAUUUUUCAUACAGCUAACCAUUUUCCUAGUUGCAUUUACUGAGUAGUCUCUUCUUUCCCUUCUGACCUGACAUGCCAUUUCUGUCGUGUUCCACAUUUCAUACGUAUGUGGGUCUGGCUCUAGGCUCUCUAGCAUUGGUCAGUAUGGACACCCCAAGUGCCUUCGCCAUUGCCUUAUUUACUGUAGCAUUAAAUAAGUUCAGACAUCUGUAGGGCAAGUUUUCCUCUCCCAAAUUGUCUUCAGAAAUGCCCUGACUAUUCUUGGCUCUUUGUUCUUCCAAAUAAUAAUAAUAAUAUACAAUUUUAUAAAUGCUUAUCAGAUUUCCUUCCAAAACAGCCUUUUGGAUUUUGAUCAAAAUUCCUCCAUAGAUCAACCUGGGGAGAACGGAAUCUUUCCUUCAGAGAACUUGGUAUAUAUCUCCAUUGUUUGAGUCUUCAUUAAAGUUUAUAAUUUUCCCUGUAAUGGUUUUAAUUCAUUCAUUAUUGUUAAGUGAUAAAUUCAUUUAAUUCAUUGUUAGAUUUAUUCCUAGGUAAUUUAUGUCCUCUAAGACUAUGGCAAAUAUUAUCUUCUUUUUAAUUAUUUUUGUUGCUGGUGUAUGAAAUUGCAAUUUAUUGUUUUAUAUUAAUCUUUUAUUGAGCUACCUUAUUAACUUAUCUUAUUAGAUUGAAGUAUUUCUAGAUUAUUUUGGGUUUUAUAUGUAAAUGAUCAUAUCACAAGCAAAUAGUGAUAAUUUUAUGUUUCCUUCCCAAUCCUUCUGCAACUGAUUUGUUUUACUUAAGUUAAUAUACUGGCAAGAACAUCUAAGGAUAGAAAGGAGUGGUGAUCAUGCACAUCCUCACCUCAUUCCAGAUUUUGAAGUGUAAGCUUCUAAUGUUUCCACAUUUGCUUAAUUUUUUAAAUGUGCUUUUUAUUUAUUUAGUUAUCAUUUUUAAAUUAUUAUUUUAUCUUAGA
rnacentral:lncRNA from 1 species